CCUACGGGGUGCAGCAGUGGGGAAUAUUGGACAAUGGGCGAAAGCCUGAUCCAGCCAUGCCGCGUGUGUGAAGAAGGCCUUCGGGUUGUAAAGCACUUUCAGUGGGGAAGAAAGCCUUGGGGCUAAUACCCUCGAGGAAGGACAUCACCCACAGAAGAAGCACCGGCUAACUCCGUGCCAGCAGCCGCGGUAAUACGGAGGGUGCGAGCGUUAAUCGGAAUUACUGGGCGUAAAGCGCGCGUAGGCGGUCUGAUAAGCCGGUUGUGAAAGCCCCGGGCUCAACCUGGGAACGGCAUCCGGAACUGUCAGGCUAGAGUGCAGGAGAGGAAGGUAGAAUUCCCGGUGUAGCGGUGAAAUGCGUAGAGAGCGGGAGGAAUACCAGUGGCGAAGGCGGCCUUCUGGACUGACACUGACGCUGAGGUGCGAAAGCGUGGGUAGCAAACAGGAUUAGAUACCCUGGUAGUC
rnacentral:rRNA from 1 species